GGUUCCAGAUUUCUUUCCUAGGGUUUCUAUCUCCAGCGUUGCCUCACUUUGGGUUUUCUUUAUUGUGUCUACUUCCCUUUUUAGAUCUAGUGUGGUUUUGUUCAUUUCCAUCAUCUGUUUGGAUGUGUUUUCCUGUUUUUCUAUAAGGACUUCUACCUGUUUGGUUGUGUUUUCCUGUUUUUCUUUAAGGACUUGUAACUCUUUAGCAGUGUUCUCCUGUAUUUCUUUAAGUGUGUUAGGGUGCCCUGGACUGUGCGAAGUGGGUGUUCUGGGUUCUGAUGAUGAUGGAGCUGAGAAGGGUGUAGGGACAGGACACACCUGGCAGGACUGAGAAGUGAAUGUUAUUGAGGUUCAUGAUGCAAAAUUCUCAAAUAACCAGUAAAAAUGAGAUUACAUCCGGCUGUAGAAGAUCUACAAGAAGAAGGUAGAGGGAGAGCAGCCUUUGGAUAUCUGCUAUAUUCCAGAAACUGUGACUCAUUUCCCUGCCAACAUGAUGACCACCACUGCUGACCACAUCCUUCCAGAUGAGGCCGUCACAGAGCUGAUGCCAAGAUAUGCUUGCAGACAGUAGCCUGGUAUGGCUGUCUUCCGAGAGGCUCUGCCAGCACGUGACUAAUACAGAUGCAGACACUCAAAGCCUGAGGACCGCAAUGGAUAAGUUAGGGGAAUGGAUGAAGGAGCUGAAGGGGAUUGCAACGCCAUAGGAAGAACAACAGCUUCAAUUAACAGAACACCUCAGAGCUCCCAGGCUUUCAGGAAACAAACGACAAGAAAUUCCAGAAUUGUACAGAGAGGAAUGAGAACGUCUUAUCCCUUUAAGAGGGACAAAUUCACCCACAACCCCACGGGUAUACUGAGAAGAAACAACUCAUCAAAAGGGAGAAGAAGGUUACAAUGUGAUGUUCAACCC
rnacentral:lncRNA from 1 species